rnacentral:rRNA from 1 species
CUGAUCUCCCCGUGCAGAAGCGGGGAUGAACACACAAGACGAGAAGACCCUGUGGAGCUUUAGACCUCUGGAGUAUACCCCUUUUCCCUCAUAUAAAGUUUGGAAACUCUGGGUGUACCCUCCCAAGACUGUCUUUGGUUGGGGCGACCGCGGAGAGAACACUACCCCCCGCGUGGAUGAAGUGAACAACUUUUUAACCUAGAGCUACACCUCUAAGUGUCAGAAUAUAUGGCCUUGAAUGAUCCGACUAUUCGAUCAACGGAACAAGUUACCCCAGGGAUAACAGCGCAAUCCUCUUUCAGAGCCCCUAUCGACAAGAGGGUUUACGACCUCGAUGUUGGAUCAGGACAUCCUAAUGGUGUAGCCGCUAUUAAGGGUUCGUUUGUUCAACGAUUAAAGUCCUACGUGAUCUGAGUUCA